AUUGAACGCUGGCGGCAGGCCUAACACAUGCAAGUCGAACGAGUGGCGGACGGGUGAGUAAUGGCUGGGACACUGCCUGACGGCGGGGGAUAACUACUGGAACCGGUAGCUACUACCGCAUACCAUCGGGUGUGCCCCGAUGGGAUUAGCUAGUAGGUGGGGUAAAGGCUCACCUAGGCGACGAUCCCUAGCUGGUCUGAGAGGAUGACCGGCCACACUGGAACUGAGACACGGUCCAGACCCCUACGGGAGGCAGCAGUGGGGAAUAUUGCACAAUGUGCGCAAGCCUGAUGCAGCCAAGCCGCGUGAAUGAAGAAGGCCUUCGGGGUGUAAAGUACUUUCAGCGGGGAGGCGUUACCCGCAGAAGAAGCACCGGCUAACUCCGUGCCAGCAGCCGCGGUAAUUC
rnacentral:rRNA from 1 species